UACAGAGGUCUCAAGCGUUGUUCGGAUUCAUUGGCGUAAAGGGUGCGUAGGCGGCGCGGUAAGUCGGGUGUGAAAUCUCGGGGCUUAACUCCGAAACUGCAUUCGAUACUGCCGUGCUUGAGGACUGGAGAGGAGACUGGAAUUUACGGUGUAGCGGUGAAAUGCGUAGAUAUCGUAAGGAAGACCAGUGGCGAAGGCGGGUCUCUGGACAGUUCCUGACGCUGAGGCACGAAGGUCAGGGGAGCAAACGGG
rnacentral:rRNA from 1 species